GAGCAUGGCUCAGGAUGAACGCUAGCGGCAGGCUUAACACAUGCAAGUCGAGGGGCAGCGCGGGAUAGCAAUAUCCUGGCGGCGACCGGCGGAAGGGUGCGUAACGCGUGAGCGACAUGCCCGUUGCCCGGGGACAACCGGUGGAAACGCCGACUAAUCCCCGAUGGGAUAUUGUGCCGCAUGGCACGAUAUUGAAAGUUACGGCGGCGACGGAUUGGCUCGCGUCCGAUUAGCUUGUUGG
rnacentral:rRNA from 1 species